rnacentral:rRNA from 1 species
AUGGCCGAAUGCUUCAAUAGGGUGCUCAAAGGUGCACGUGGAUUACCCGUGACGGCAAUAGUUCAAUACACAUUUGACAAGAUGAAUGCGUACUUUGUAAAGUACUCGAUGGAAAUGGAUGCACAGAUAGCGGGUGAGAACCCAUGCAAGUACAAGUACAAGUUCCCACCCAAGGUUGAUGAAUGGUUGGAAUUUCAAUCACGGAAGGCGGACUCAGAAGAAGCUAUAUUAUAUGACAACGAAGAGUGGAAGUAUGAAGUGAAAGAGCCAGGAGGAACCACAAACGAUGGCCGUCAACACAGAGGUCGGGCUUUCAAGGUGUCGUUAACACAAUGUGAUUGCUCUUGCAGGAGGCCAUUGUUGCUUCAUCUCCCAUGCUCACACUUGUAUACCGUCGGUCGCGUUAGGAAUGUGGACAUCAAUCACCCACGCACCAUGAGGGAGUCGGAGUUCUCAAUAAUGACGGUCAAGAAAACAUGGGCUCCCCGCUUUCACCCAUACUUUGACCAAUCACAAUGGCCGGAGUACCAUGGAGUUCAACUAUGGCCGGAUCCG